UACGUAGGGGGCAAGCGUUGUCCGGAAUCAUUGGGCGUAAAGAGCGUGUAGGCGGCCAGAUAAGUCCGCUGUGAAAUCUCGAGGCUCAACUUCGAGCUGUCGGUGGAAACUGUCUGGCUAGAGUCCGGAAGAGGAGAAUGGAAUUCCUGGUGUAGCGGUGAAAUGCGCAGAUAUCAGGAAGAACACCCGUGGCGAAGGCGGUUCUCUGGGACGGUACUGACGCUGAGGCGCGAAAGCGUGGGGAGCGAACAGG
rnacentral:rRNA from 1 species